GUAGGGCCAGGGCUCUCAUACAUACCCAGCCUGCAUCCACUACAUAGAUCCAAGGAAAAGGGGCAGUCAGGCCUAUGGGAAGAGAUCAAGUCAGCGAAUCAGGAUGCUUGCUCUGUAAAACAGGUUCAUCCAUCCACAGAUGGCAUUUCCUUCCUCACCUGGACCUCUGAAGCAGCAUCCAAUAGCCUCAGGCUGCCACUGAAGUCAUGUCCCACAGCCACCAGGAUGAUGUCUCAGAGAUACUAUGAGCUUCCUAAGGACAAAGAUCCUACCUGCCUUGAUCACCUUGGUACCUGGCACAAGACUGACCCACAAAGGAAGCUCCACACAUCAGAGAUGGGAGCCAAGUAUGCUGAGGUGUACGGUACGCUUCUUCGACAUCUCCCAGACUUCCAGCUGGCUACAGCCACCAGUUCCCUCACUGACCCGUGACACUGACGGCGUCACCAAGAUGAACUGCGGAGGCAAGGGAGUGUGAGUUCUGAGUGUCCUCGGCAAACGCCUUCUCACAAGAGUUUGGCCUCCAUGGGGUUAGCGUAAGCUGGCGCGGCCUUGGUCUUUUCUAGGAACUCGAAAAACCUGGAUGUCCUCAGCAGCCUUAGUCAUACAGCUGGGCAGACUGAGGAUUUCAACAGCAAGAGAAUCCCGGGCUCCUCUGUGAUGUCAUCAGCCAAGCUGUGUGUGUCUCCAUUCCAGGAAGCCCACCCACCCCAUAAGACAGUUUACUGAAUCUUCAAAUAGCGCUAAACACAGACUAGCUGAUACUGGUCAGCACCCACUGGUCUCAAUCCUGCAGGGACCUAUCCAGCCAUACUUGUUAUAGAUCCCAUACUCAUAGCCCAUACUUGCUACGGACCUCAGAGAUUUUGUUCAUUACAUUUUUAUUUAUACUGGGGUGGGGUGCACAUGUGGAGGUCAGAAGAUGACUUGUAGGUGUCAACUCUCCUUCUACCAUGAGGGUCCUGGGGACUGGACUCAGGAAGGCUUCCUUGGUGGCAAAUGACCUCACUGGCUGAAUCCUUUCGCCAGCCUGAACUUAGAAAUCUAUAGACAGUCCCUCUUGCCCUCUUGCCUUCAUGUCUUUAAGAUCCUGUCCUCAUAUGUGUAUAUCUGUGUGUGUGUGUAUGUGUGUGUGUGCGCGUGCUCGCGCGCGCGUGCAUGUAUACAUGUCCAUGCAUGCAUGCAUGUGUGUGCAGGUGUACGGGCAUGGACAUCAGAGAACAGCAAUUUCAGAUGUCAUCCUUAGGAAUGUCACACACGUUCUUUGGGACAGUUUAUCUCCAGGGUCUCUCACCGUCCUGGAAUUCAAUAGGUUGAAUAGGCUGACUAGCCAGUGAGCUCAGAGACCCUUGUCACCUCCUCAGCACUGGAAUGACAUGUGUGCACAGUGGCACCUGGCACUGUCUAUGUGGGUUCUGGGAAUCAACCUCAGGUCGUCAUGCUUGCAAGGCAAGAGUUCUCCCAGCUGAGCCAUCCAUUUCCUUGGCAUGAUCCAGGUACUCAGUCUCCAAAGCUGUGUAAUGGGUACAGCACACACUGUACCCUAUUCCCCUCGGGUGGCAGAGACUGAUAUGAAGAAAGCACUACCUCUGAGUUGGAAGAGGAGUUUACCAGAGGCUCAGGCUGUCCUCAGGCUCCCUGGCCAGUACCAGCAGCAAAACAGCUCACAGAAAAAGCUGCCCUUUGCCUGAUGAGCCAGGCUGUUAGACCGUCUGCCCUCCCCAGCCCCAGGGAGAUUGAUGCCUGAACUGACGGAUCACUCCAAUGUAUUAGGUAGAUAAAGAAAUUGAUUAUUCCAUAAAUCAUUGUCUCCAUGAAAAAGGGGCCAAUUUUUAAAAAAAGAAAAUAUUAUAAAUCUGUCCAAACCCCUGUGAGGGAAAGUAUGUAGCCAUUUCAAUUUAAUUGUCUGAGAGCUUCUUUGCUGUAGCUCCAAAAAGAAAGGAUGUGGAAAUAAAUGAGUCUCCAGUUAGAGAGGUUUCUAUGCCCUAAGGAAAGGCCAGGCCAUGCCCUGAACCAGAGAGCUUUAUUUACUUGCAACAGGAAGAAUGCAGAUAAACUAGAAGUAACAGAGAAUCCCAUCCCUUGGACACUCAAAAAGUGGAUGCUGGGGGCUUGGGAAACGACUCAGUAGGUAAAGUAUUACAUAAUCAUGAAGACCCGAGUUCAAAUCCCUGGUACCCGUGUAAAAGCCAGUUGUGGCUACAAACAUCUGCAAUCCAGUGCUGGGAGGUGGAGACAAGCAGCCCCCAGGGUCUUGCUGGCCAGACUGUCUAGUCAAAAGGCCACUCUGCAGGUUCACUCUUGCAUAGGUGAGCUCUCUCUCUCUCUCUCUCUCUCUCUCUCUCUCUCUCUCUCUCUCUCACACACACACACACACACACACACACACACACACACAUAAUCUC